rnacentral:rRNA from 1 species
ACUUAAGCAUAUCAAUAAGCGGAGGAAAAGAAACCAACCGGGAUUGCCUCAGUAACGGCGAGUGAAGCGGCAAAAGCUCAAAUUUGAAAUCUGGCUCCCUUCGGGGUCCGAGUUGUAAUUUGCAGAGGAUGCUUCGGUUGCGGCCCCCAUCUAAGUACCCUGGAACGGGUCGUCAUAGAGGGUGAGAAUCCCGUAUGGGAUGGGGUGUCCGCGUCCGUGUGAAGCUCCUUCGACGAGUCGAGUUGUUUGGGAAUGCAGCUCUAAAUGGGUGGUAAAUUUCAUCUAAAGCUAAAUACUGGCCGGAGACCGAUAGCGCACAAGUAGAGUGAUCGAAAGAUGAAAAGCACUUUGAAAAGAGAGUUAAACAGCACGUGAAAUUGUUGAAAGGGAAGCGCUUGCGAUCAGACUCGCCUACGGGGUUCAGCCGGCUUUCCCCCCGGUGUACUUCCCCGUGGGCGGGCCAGCGUCGGUUUGGGCGGCCGGUCAAAGGCCCCUGGAAUGUAGCGCCUCUCGGGGCGCCUUAUAGCCAGGGGUGCAAUGCGGCCUGCCUGGACCGAGGAACGCGCUUCGGCACGGACGCUGGCAUAAUGGUCGUAAGCGACCCGUCUUGAAACACGGACCAAGGAGUCUAACAUCUACGCGAGUGUUCGGGUGUCAAACCCGUGCGCGGAGUGAAAGCGAACGGAGGUGGGAGCCCCCUCGCGGGGCGCACCAUCGACCGAUCCUGAUGUCUUCGGAUGGAUUUGAGUAAGAGCGUAAAUGUGGGGACCCGAAAGAUGGUGAACUAUGCCUGAAUAGGGCGAAGCCAGAGGAAACUCUGGUUGAGGCUCGCAGAGGUUC